GCCGACGUGGCUCGAUGCAGAAAGGCGCCGGCCUCGUAAGUCGGUUUAUACUGGUGCGAAUCCAGUCGUCGGCU
rnacentral:tRNA from 1 species